ACGCUGGCGGCGUGCCUAACACAUGCAAGUCGAACGGAAACAAGAGCUUCGGUUUUUGUUUUAGUGGCGAACGGGUGAGUAACGCGUGAGAAACCUGCCUUUCAGUGGGGGACAACAGUUGGAAACGACUGCUAAUACCGCAUAAUGUUUCGAGAGGGCAUCCUCUUGAAACCAAAGCUUAAUGUGCUGAAAGAUGGUCUCGCGUCUGAUUAGCUAGAUGGCGGGGUAACGGCCCACCAUGGCGACGAUCAGUAGCCGGUCUGAGAGGAUGAACGGCCACAUUGGGACUGAGAUACGGCCCAGACUCCUACGGGAGGCAGCAGUGGGGAAUAUUGGGCAAUGGGGGAAACCCUGACCCAGCAACGCCGCGUGAAGGAAGAAGGCCUUCGGGUUGUAAACUUCUUUUAGCAGGGACGAAGAACGUGACGGUACCUGCAGAAAAAGCAACGGCUAACUACGUGCCAGCAGCCGCGGUAAUACGUAGGUUGCAAGCGUUGUCCGGAUUUACUGGGUGUAAAGGGCGUGUAGGCGGAGAUGCAAGUUGGGAGUGAAAUCCCGGGGCUCAACCCCGGAACUGCUUUCAAAACUGUAUCCCUUGAGUGUCGGAGAGGCAAGCGGAAUUCCUAGUGUAGCGGUGAAAUGCGUAGAUAUUAGGAGGAACACCAGUGGCGAAGGCGGCUUGCUGGACGAUAACUGACGCUGAGGCGCGAAAGCGUGGGGAGCAAAC
rnacentral:rRNA from 1 species